rnacentral:SRP_RNA from 1 species
GCUGGGCGCGGUGGCGCGUGCCUGUAGUCCCAGUUACUCCGGAGGCUGAGGCUGGAGGAUCACUUGAGCCCAGGAGUUCUGGGCUAUGGUGUGCUAUGCCGAUCGGUUGUCUGCACUAAGUUCAGCAUCGAUAUGGUGACCUCCGGGGAGCGGGGGACCACCAGGUUGCCUAAGGAGAGGGGAACUGGCUCAGGUCGGAAACGGAGCAGGUCAAAACUCCCGUGCUGAUCAGUAGUGGGACUGCGCCUGUGAAUAGCCGCUGCACUCCAGCCUGAGCAGCAUAGCGAGAUCCUGUCUCU